rnacentral:tRNA from 1 species
GUUGCUUUAGCGGAGUGGUUUAAGCUUGUGCCUGCUUAGUACAUGGUGUUACCCGCGAGAGUUUCGAAUUUCUCAGGCAACG